rnacentral:tRNA from 1 species
CGGGUGUAGUUCAAUGGUAGAACCUCAGCUUCCCAAGCUGAUGAUGUGGGUUCGAUUCCCAUCACCC